UGGGGAAUUUUGCACAAUGGGGGAAACCCUGAUGCAGCGACGCCGCGUGAUUUAGAAGGCCUUCGGGUUGUAAAAAUUUUUUUUACGGGAGGAAAAUGACAGUACCGUAAGAAUAAGGUCCGGCUAAAUACGUGCCAGCAGCCGCGGUAAUACGUAUGGACCGAGGGUUGUCCGGAAUCAUUGGGCGUAAAGGGUACGUAGGCGGCCUAGUAAGUUAGAAGUGAAAUAAUAUAGCUCAACUAUAUAAAGCUUUUAAAACUGCUAGGCUUGAGAGAUGGAAGGGAAAGUGGAAUUCCUAGUGUAGCGGUGAAAUGCGCAGAUAUUAGGAAGAAUACCGGUGGCGAAGGCGACUUUCUGGUCAUCAUCUGACGCUGAGGUACGAAAGCGUGGGUAGCAAACAGG
rnacentral:rRNA from 1 species